rnacentral:rRNA from 1 species
AUUGAACGCUGGCGGCAUGCCUUACACAUGCAAGUCGAACGGCAGCACGGGGCAACCUGGUGGCGAGUGGCGAACGGGUGAGUAAUGCAUCGGAACGUGCCAUUGAGUGGGGGAUAACGUAGCGAAAGUUGCGCUAAUACCGCAUAUUCUGUGAGCAGGGAAAGCAGGGGGACCGCAAGGCCUUGCGCUCUUUGAGCGGCCGAUGUCAGAUUAGCUAGUUGGUGAGGUAACGGCUUACCAAGGCGACGAUCUGUAGCGGGUCUGAGAGGAUGAUCCGCCACACUGGAACUGAGACCCGGGUCCAGACUCCUACGGGAGGCAGCAGUGGGGAAUUUUGGACAAUGGGCGCAAGCCUGAUCCAGCCAUGCCGCGUGAGUGAAGAAGGCCUCGG